rnacentral:rRNA from 1 species
AUGAAUACCUUAAUAUGGAACUGCAGGGGGGCGGGGAACCGCCGGACAGUUCGUGAGGUGUUAGCCCUCUCUAAAACCAACAUGCCUAAGCUUGUCUUUCUGUGUGAAACAAGGCAAGCAGAUGCGAAGAUGGAGAAGUUACGAUGGAGACUCGGUUUGAAAGGUUUCUGUGGUGUGAGCAGUUCAGGUUUAAGCGGUGGCCUAGCACUUUAUUGGGAUGAAUCACUCGUGGUCACUGUUUUGGAAUCUUGUCAAAGGUUUAUCGAUGUUAUAGUGGAGGAUAGAAGUUCUGGAAAGAAGUGGUGUAUGACCUUUGUGUAUGGUGAGCCAAGGGUGGAGAACAGACAUAUAAUGUGGGAUCAUUUGACACGGUUGAGAGGGGUUUUGCCAGAACCUUGGCUUGUAUGUGGUGACUUCAAUGAAACGAUGUGGCAGCAUGAGCAUAUGUCCAGAGCAAUGCGACCAGAGUCUUAG